rnacentral:rRNA from 1 species
UACGUAGGGUGCAAGCGUUAAUCGGAAUUACUGGGCGUAAAGCGUGCGCAGGCGGUUUUGUAAGACAGAGGUGAAAUCCCCGGGCUCAACUUGGGAACUGCCUUUGUGACUGCAAAGCUUGAGUGCGGCAGAGGGGGAUGGAAUUCCGCGUGUAGCAGUGAAAUGCGUAGAUAUGCGGAGGAACACCGAUUGCGAAGGCAGUCCCCUGGGCCUGCACUGACGCUCAUGCACGAAAGCGUGGGGAUCAAACAGG